AUGUUUUGAAAACCGGACCGGACCGACCGGUCGGACCGGUUCAACCGCGAACCGCCGCCAUGUCCGGUCCGGUUAGAUGUGAAAAAUCAAAAAUCCUAAAAACCCGGGUCAAAUGCCAAAAUCCCGGUUCGACCGGUAAGAACCGGUUAACCCGGAACCCAGUCCAAAAACCGGUUUUUAGCUCAAAAGAAAAUUCAUGGCCGGAUCUAAGUCAAUGGUGGUCGUGGGUGAUAGAACCUUGUCGAAAAAAGGUUGUUGGUGAACGGAUCUAAACGGAUCUGAGUAGUAAUGACCGAAUCCAAGUGGUGGCAGCCAUAGAUUUCCACCGAAGAAAAGAAAACGAAGAAGGAGAAAGUGAAAAUGAAGAAAAAAAAUGAAAAAAUAAGUUAAGCAAAUAGAGUAUAAGUCUGGGUGGAAAUUGGGAUAGUUAAAAAUAAAUAGAGAUAGAAGAGAAUAAAAGAUGAGAAGGGGAUGGGCCUGUGGCUGU
rnacentral:lncRNA from 1 species